AUUGAACGCUAGCGGGAUGCCUUACACAUGCAAGUCGAACGGCGUGGCGAACGGGUGAGUAAUGUAUCGGAAGGUACCCAUUAGCGGGGGAUACCUACGCGAAAGCGUACCUAAUACAGCAUACUUUUGGAGCGGCUGAUAGUGGAUUAGCUAGUUGGCGGGGUAACGGCUCACCAAGGCGACGAGCCUUAGCUGGUUUGAGAGGACGAUCAGCCACACUGGGACUGAGACACGGCCCAGACUCCUACGGGAGGCAGCAGUGGGGAAUUUUGGACAAUGGGCGAAAGCCUGAUCCAGCCAUCCCGCGUGUGCGAAGAAGGCCUUCGGGUUGUAAAGCACUUUUGGCAGAAGAGCGGUACCUGCAGAAUAAGCACCGGCUAACUACGUGCCAGCAGCCGCGGUAAUUC
rnacentral:rRNA from 1 species